rnacentral:rRNA from 1 species
CUAGUCUUACGGGGGGCAGCAGUGGGGGAUAUUGCACAAUGGGGGGAACCCUGAUGCAGCGACGCCGCGUGGAGGAUGAAGGUUUUAGGAUUGUAAACUCCUUUUGUAAGAGAAGAUUGUGACGGUAUCUUACGAAUAAGCACCGGCUAACUCCGUGCCAGCAGCCGCGGUAAUACGGAGGGUGCAAGCGUUACUCGGAAUCACUGGGCGUAAAGAGCGCGUAGGCGGGUGGUCAAGUCAGAUGUGAAAUCCUGUAGCUUAACUACAGAACUGCAUUUGAAACUGAUCAUCUAGAGUAUGGGAGG